rnacentral:rRNA from 1 species
GACGAACGCUGGCGGCGUGCUUAACACAUGCAAGUCGAACGGUGAAGCGCCUUCCUUUUUGGUGGGUGUGGAUGAGUGGCGAACGGGUGAGUAACACGUGAGUAACCUGCCCCCUUCUUCUGGAUAACCGCAUGAAAGUGUGGCUAAUACGGGAUAUUCUGGGUCUGUCGCAUGAUGGGUCUGGGAAAGAUAUUGUUUCGGUGGGGGAUGGGCUCGCGGCCUAUCAGCUUGUUGGUGGGGUGAUGGCCUACCAAGGCGGUGACGGGUAGCCGGCCUGAGAGGGUGGACGGUCACACUGGGACUGAGACACGGCCCAGACUCCUACGGGAGGCAGCAGUGGGGAAUAUUGCACAAUGGGCGCAAGCCUGAUGCAGCGACGCCGCGUGAGGGAUGGAGGCCUUCGGGUUGUGAACCUCUUUCGCCAGUGAAGCAGGACUGCCUCGUUUGUGGGUGGGUUGACGGUAGCUGGAUAAGAAGCGCCGGCUAACUACGUG